rfam:Oryzias latipes DNA, scaffold628, strain: Hd-rR.
CAAAAGGAUUCCUUAGAAUCCAACCAUAUUUUUUUACAUUUUAUA